AUGGUUUCCCUGGUGCAGUUGUGGAUUCUCCAAACCCCUGGAAGAAGAGACCUUCUGCUCAUUCACCUGGAACUUGACUCCUUACUGACACAAAUGUCUCCUAAGAAAUUGAUCUUCAUUCCUGGGCAGGGCCUCCCACAGAGGUUUUUGUAUGAGCCUGUGUCACAGUGUCGUGUGUUCGGCGGAGGGACCCAUCUGACCGUCCUAGGUCAGCCCAAGUCCGCACCCUCAGUCACUCUGUUCCCACCCUCCUCUGAGGAGCUCAGCAACAACAAAGCCACACUGGUGUGUCUGGUCAGUGACUUCUACCCUGGAGCCGUGACAGUGGCCUGGAAGGAGAAUGGCAGCCCUGUGUCCCAGGGUGUGGAGACCACCAAGCCCUCCAAACAGAGCAACAACAAGUAUGCGGCCAGCAGCUACCUGAGCGUGUCAGCCAGCAAGUGGAAAUCUGCCAGCCAGUUCAGCUGCCACGUGACACACGAUGGCACCACUGUGGACAAGACAGUGGUCCCCUCAGAGUGUUCCUAGAUCCCUCACUCCACAACUCCCUGGGUUGGAACCACACGACCCUGAACAAAUCUCCCUAACAAACCCCAAUCCAUCUUCCUCCUGAACAGAAUCAUCUGUCAAUAAAAUAUCUGCCUUGUCAAUUAGA